AGCGGCGGACGGGUGAGUAACACGUGGGUAACCUGCCCAAGAGACUGGGAUAACACCUGGAAACAGAUGCUAAUACCGGAUAACAACACUAGACGCAUGUCUAGAGUUUGAAAGAUGGUUCUGCUAUCACUCUUGGAUGGACCUGCGGUGCAUUAGCUAGUUGGUAAGGUAACGGCUUACCAAGGCAAUGAUGCAUAGCCGAGUUGAGAGACUGAUCGGCCACAUUGGGACUGAGACACGGCCCAAACUCCUACGGGAGGCAGCAGUAGGGAAUCUUCCACAAUGGACGAAAGUCUGAUGGAGCAACGCCGCGUGAGUGAAGAAGGGUUUCGGCUCGUAAAGCUCUGUUGGUAGUGAAGAAAGAUAGAGGUAGUAACUGGCCUUUAUUUGACGGUAAUUACUUAGAAAGUCACGGCUAACUACGUGCCAGCAGCCGCGGUAAUACGUAGGUGGCAAGCGUUGUCCGGAUUUAUUGGGCGUAAAGCGAGUGCAGGCGGUUCAAUAAGUCUGAUGUGAAAGCCUUCGGCUCAACCGGAGAAUUGCAUCAGAAACUGUUGAACUUGAGUGCAGAAGAGGAGAGUGGAACUCCAUGUGUAGCGGUGGAAUGCGUAGAUAUAUGGAAGAACACCAGUGGCGAAGGCGGCUCUCUGGUCUGCAACUGACGCUGAGGCUCGAAAGCAUGGGUAGCGAACAGGAUUAGAUACCCUGGUAGUCCAUGCCGUAACGAUGAGUGCUAGUGU
rnacentral:rRNA from 1 species